GUGAACUUAUACCUAUUUGUUGCCUCGGCGUAAGGSUGGGCCCCCCGGGGCCCCMYCAGUCUCUGGGGAGCAGGCCCGCCGGCGGCCAAGUAAACUCUUGUUUUUWCCUGGAACUYUGAGUAAAAAAACAUAAAUGAAUCAAAACUUUCAACAACGGAUCUCUUGGUUCUGGCAUCGAUGAAGAACGCAGSGAAAUGCGAUAAGUAAUGUGAAUUGCAGAAUUCAGUGAAUCAUYGAAUCUUUGAACGCACAYUGCGCCCUCUGGUAUUCCGGAGGGCAUGCCUGUUCGAGCGUCAUUUCAACCCUCAAGCCUGGCUUGGUGAUGGGGCACUGCUCUGGAGACAGAGCAGGCCCYGAAAUACAGUGGCGAGCUCGCCAGUACCCCGAGCGCAGUAGUUAAACCCUCGUUCUGGAAGGUGCYGGCGGUGCCC
rnacentral:rRNA from 1 species